rnacentral:rRNA from 1 species
UACGUAGGGGGCAAGCGUUAUCCGGAUUUACUGGGUGUAAAGGGAGUGUAGGCGGUCUGGCAAGUCUGAUGUGAAACUCCGGGGCUCAACCCCGGAACUGCAUUGGAAACUGUCAGACUAGAGUGCAGGAGAGGAAAGUGGAAUUCCUAGUGUAGCGGUGAAAUGCGUAGAUAUUAGGAAGAACACCAGUGGCGAAGGCGGCUUUCUGGACUGUAACUGACGCUGAGGCUCGAAAGCGUGGGGAGCAAACAGG